rnacentral:rRNA from 1 species
GUUCCUGGCUCAGGAUGAACGCUAGCGGCAGGCUUAACACAUGCAAGUCGAGGGGCAGCGGGGAGUAGCAAUACUCCGCCGGCGACCGGCGCACGGGUGCGUAACGCGUAUGCAACCUACCUUUAACAGGGGCAUAACACUGAGAAAUUGGUACUAAUUCCCCAUAACAUUCGAGAAGGCAUCUUCUUGGGUUAAAAACUCCGGUGGUUAAAGAUGGGCAUGCGUUGUAUUAGCUAGUUGGUGAGGUAACGGCUCACCG